AAUAUCACCUGGUACCCAUAGGAAAUAUCAUGGGACUAAAACAACGUUUGACAGAGGACAUUAAUUUUGGACUGGUUUUUGAACCAGCAUGGAAGUAACUUGUUCAGUAGUACCAACUUGCUCCAGGAUAAUAAUCAAAAAGCCAAAGAUCAUGGAUUACUUGCCAGUCUGAAGGGGAAAAUCUAGUUGACAGCUUAAAUUGCUAAAUAUUAGGAGAAUGAGAAAACACAUACAAAGAAAUUUAGCAACAGAGAUAUUCCGGGUAACAGAUUUUUGGUGCUCGAAUCUCUGACCAAAUAGUAAAAAAAUAGUUAAAUAUUUGAAUCAGAAACUGUUGAAAAAGUUCAAUGUGAUUUUUCCAAAAUCCCUGAAAAUGGAAAUAUAAAUCUGUGAAUGUUGCAAGAAAACUUUGAGGGCUGAAGUACGACAUAAGAAAGGAACAUGGCUCUGAAAGACAUCAUAUUUGAAAUGAUAGUCUUCAAAGUUUGUGGUUACAGAGUAGAUUCCACCAUCAACAGCAUGUGUGUCUUGUUGAGCACUUCACCACUAUGAGAGGGUUCCAAGACUUCCCGGUGGUUCAAUCUGUCUCAGUGGAUGUAACAAUCUGAGCAAAAAUGUUUGUGUGUGCAGCAUGUUUCAAUGCAUCCACCAAUUCUAUGAUACCUUUUGGAAGAACACCAUUCGGGCUGCACUGAGCAAGGAGAAUCCUCUAGGCGAACAGUAUAUACUAUACAGAAUGUUCAGGAAUGAAAUUUAUUGUGGUUGAUCUGUCAGUGGACAAGAUUUUUUGCUUCAGUAUUAAAUUUUAGAUAAGGGGAGGCUCUGAAGCAAAGUAGACAGGAGGUUUCUUCAAAGCUCACAAUAUCCCAGUUCACAAGAAACAUGCCAAAAGGAUUUCACUAUUCCCUAUCAUAGUGAAUUGGAAGAGGAUUCGACUGAGGCUUGGUGCCAAACAAAAGAUAAUAGUUGAUAGCGCGAUCGGAAAUUUCUACGAUUUAUUUAUAUCCUCCUUUUCUAUGGUAUUCUUGUAAAAGACAAAAUUGAAGUGCAUAUCUGGGCUCCCUUCUUUUCUGUGGCCCCGUUUCCCCUUGA
rnacentral:lncRNA from 1 species